CACAGGCAGCAAAUGAGCAGCUUUGGUUUUAUGGUGCCCAGAAGUAAGAAAUCCUUUGGAAGAAGAAGGCAUUUGGCUCCCCGCGGGAGGAAUCAGUUACCAACAGAAUUAACAGCUAAGCCAGACAAAACAUUUUUUGGCCCCUCUCCCAGGGUGGUUCCCCUGAGAAUCUUUUUCAACCUUCGCAAGUGACCACCACAACUCCAGGUGUUCUUAACGACCACCGUACUUUAUUCGAUCCCUUCAGCAGGCCGCAGCCUGGGGCGCUAUUACAGUACUCUUUACACAGUCAGUAGCUAGCUUCUCCCCACUUCCUUCUGGCCAAGGGUACAGCAUUAUUAUUAUUAGCAGCAGCCAGUCCUACCUACUCCUACCUCCCUUCAGGCUCCCUACUCUAAUUUCUAGCACUGCCUUCCUCUCUGCUUAUAUAAUCCCAGCUGCUGGGGUGGGGAGUGACUUCCACCCAAUUAACCCCUCAGCUGUAUCUCUGCUCAGUCGGUUGGUGCUCCUCCAACAGGUGAGAUUGCACCGGCCAUGAGUCUCCCCCUUCCUUUUUGCAGGUGCUUCACAAAUAAAAGGCUACUCCUCACCUGUGUAAAACUCCACAUGAAAAACAAAUGCAGCAGUAGCAAGUUGAGAAGCAACCCAUUCCUAACACUCCUGCAGACCUGGACCAGUUCUCACACAGCAGACGAUGCAUCAGUCACGCCACCUUAGGUUUCUAGAUUCGAUUCGGGCACUUGUCCCAAAUACUAAUUGUACCAGCUGUGGUGGAUUUUUGAAGGAAGGAACGUUUCGUUACAAAACUGUUUCAUUGCUGAAGGUCUCGCGCUGCUUGGCUUUUGGCAGUUCCCACUUCUCCCCUGCACUUUCUGGCCCCAAGAGGUUGCUUAGGGGCCAGACAUGGCGGAUGCUUCUGGGAGCAGCAAGGAGCCAGGACAGGCUGGGAGCCUGCCUUAGCCCUGCUGCACUGCUGAC